UUAGUGGCGAACGGGUGAGUAAUACGUGAGUAACCUACCUUUAACUCUGGGAUAAGCCUGGGAAACUGGGUCUAAUACCGGAUACGACCAAUCUCCGCAUGGGGUGUUGGUGGAAAGCGUUAUGUAGUGGUUAUAGAUGGGCUCACGGCCUAUCAGCUUGUUGGUGAGGUAACGGCUCACCAAGGCGACGACGGGUAGCCGGCCUGAGAGGGUGACCGGCCACACUGGGACUGAGACACGGCCCAG
rnacentral:rRNA from 1 species